rnacentral:lncRNA from 1 species
GCGGCCCGAAGAGGCCAGCUUAGCCCCGAUGAAUCGGGAGAGGAAGACUCCGACUGGGAAUCUCCCUCCUCGCCGUUAUUGCGAUCGGAAAAGGAUGAAGCCCAAGCUUAAUCAAACACUAAAAGCUGGGAUUUACGCCUAUAUAAGAUCCCCCAUCCUCCCCUUUGAGAUCCAUCAAAGAAAAAAGGGUUCUUUUGGUCUCGAUCUCAAGCCGUCUUCCUGAGAGUUUUCCUCUGUAUUCCACCAGCAAAGGUCGCAAGCGAGCCUCGCCGGACUGAGGUACGAGUUUUCCAUUCUCUCCUCUUUCUUCCUUUGUGUUUUGGGCUUUGGAUUCUAUUGUUUUGAGCCGGCAAUCGCCGGAGUUCCUUCCGAAACAGAGCAUCUCUGUUUCUAUGAUUCCCACCGGUUUUGGCCGCCGCCGGCCGCUGGUUUGGCCGGGGCUGUGCCCGCUUGUGACUGCCGACGUGUGGGGUCCGGGCCGCCAUGGCUGCCUCCCUCGGACUUGCGGGGGAACGGGGGAAGGAAAGGAGAAGGGGAGGACGAGCCUCCCUGUUCGUGAACAGCGAGAGAGAGUUUCUCUCUCUUCUCCCCUCUCCUCACUCUCUCUCUUCUCUCCACUUCCUCUCUCCACAUUCUCUCUCUUCUCUCCACUUUAUCUCUCCACAUUCUCUCUUCUUCCCGCUUCCUCUUUCUACUUUCUCUCUCUGGAAGAUCCAUUGAAUCCAGUAUUGUGUCCUAUCGACCUGAUCUACGAAUUCAAGUUGAUCCUAUAAAGGCCUUAGUUCUGCCCUGGUGCCCGGAUUGCAUGCUGAACCGGUCAUUCUGGCCUUAUUGAAUGUCCUUAAAAACUUUAUUAACGAGAGACAUUUUAUCGAACACCAUGGUUCCGCCCUGGUGCCCGGCAUGAGAACACUUCAGGUUGGCAUCCCAUCAGAGACAUUCUAUCGAACACCAUGGCUGCUUCGCUUACCCUCUUCUCGGAGCAGAGGCCAUUGACAAGAGAGCUGAAGAUUAUGGCGUUGGGGACAUGGCCACGUUUCACGAGGUCCCCGUACGUAACAUUCUUCCCGUUAGUAUGAUUAGUAUUGUGGCUCCAGUAGGUAAUUUAGUCGUGCCCCAGCCAUCCUCUUUUCCUUUAUUCUUUUAGUUCUUGUUAAAAUGCUUUGUUGACCUUCCAUUUUAUAUAAACCAACAACCUUAUAAUUGGUGGUGACUAUUAUUAUGAGUUAGGAUCGAUCAAAUCUUUCAUCAUCCAAUUCAAGAAAGGUAAUGGCCUUCUAAGUUUCCUUCUGUUUAAAGUUUGUUCCUAUCACUUGCUCCAUAUAAAUGCUAUUGAUCACUGAUCUAAGUUGGAAUAUCCAGUCAUGAGAUGCUGCUUAUGUAUUGUAUUCUUGCUAAUUUAGAGCUCUUUCAGGGUCAUUGUCGUACAAAAACUUGCAUUGUCCUCAAGCCACUUUUCGCAGCUAACUUGGCCAUUAUUACCUUCAUGCAGGAUGAAAAUUCAAAGAGAAAACUCGCUUUAUGAAUACCUAAUACUUGAAGGAAAAAGGUUCUUGUUGUCCAUGCUAUGUAUAACUUCACUGUCGCUCGUCAAAAUUUCCAUAGCAUCAUUAGGAAUGAAAGUCCUGCCACAGCCAGCAAGAUAUUGACUCCAAAGACAUAAAUAAGCAAAAAAUGAACUAGGAAUCAAAUUAGCACUGGAAGAUAUUGUCUGAAGCAGAUGAGUAAUAUUUUAUUCUUUGACUGAUCUUUGGUUUUGUGUGCUUAUGAGAGAAAGGAGGUCAAAUUUGCUGAAAGUGGUACGAUUCAUUUCCCUUUAAUUCCUUUUCCUUUAAUAGGUAACAUCAAUAAUCGAAGUUGGAUGGCUUCGUACCUUCAUAGGUUUUUGUAGGGCUGUAAUAUAGCGAUCUUGAUUCUGGAGUGUGCCAAAGUGGUUCAUGGUUCUUAAACAACACAGCAAAAGAAAAGGCGCAGCUUGCCAAAUUACAUGAUAUCAUUAACCUCUUCCUGUCAAUAAAUCUUGUGCCUGCAUCAAAAGUCUACCCUGUGCUAUUCUUUCAACGG